CUAAGAAUAUUCCGCAAUGGACGAAAGUCUGACGGAGCGACGCCGCGUGGAUGAAGAAGGCCGAAAGGUUGUAAAAUCCUUUUGUUGGGGAAGAAUAACCAUGGGAGGGAAUGCCCGUGGGAUGACAUGAACCGACGAAUAAGUCCCGGCUAACUACGUGCCAGCAGCCGCGGUAACACGUAGGGGACAAGCGUUAUUCGGAAUUACUGGGCGUAAAGGGCAUGUAGGCGGCUUUGUAAGCCUGGCGUGAAAGUCCACAGCUCAACUGUGGGAUUGCGUCGGGAACUGCAGGGCUAGAGUCAUGGAGAGGAAGGUAGAAUUCCUGGUGUAGGGGUGAAAUCUGUAGAGAUCAGGAAGAAUACCAGUGGCGAAGGCGACCUUCUGGCCAAUGACUGACGCUGAGGUGCGAAAGUGUGGGGAUCAAACA
rnacentral:rRNA from 1 species